GAUGAACGCUGGCGGCGUGCCUAAUACAUGCAAGUCGAGCGAACGGACGAGAAGCUUGCUUUUCUGAUGUUAGCUGCGGACGGGUGAGUAACACGUGGAUAACCUACCUAUAAGACUGGGAUAACUUCGGGAAACCGGAGCUAAUACCGGAUAAUAUUUUGAACCGCAUGGUUCAAAAGUGAAAGACGGUCUUGCUGUCACUUAUAGAUGGAUCCGCGCUGCAUUAGCUAGUUGGUAAGGUAACGGCUUACCAAGGCAACGAUGCAUAGCCGACCUGAGAGGGUGAUCGGCCACACUGGAACUGAGACACGGUCCAGACUCCUACGGGAGGCAGCAGUAGGGAAUCUUCCGCAAUGGGCGAAAGCCUGACGGAGCAACGCCGCGUGAGUGAUGAAGGUCUUCGGAUCGUAAAACUCUGUUAUUAGGGAAGAACAUAUGUGUAAGUAACUGUGCACAUCUUGACGGUACCUAAUCAGAAAGCCACGGCUAACUACGUG
rnacentral:rRNA from 1 species